ensembl:lncRNA
AAUUUAUAAGAAUUUCACGAUUCCGAUUCCGAUUCUGCUUAUCGAUCCGAUUCCUUAUCGAUUCUCUUAUCGAUUCUCUUUGGGUGAGAAAAUAAGUAUAAAUGUGUUUGUUUGCAUUAAAUCUCUUUAAUAUCUGAUCAGAAGUGCUUCUAGUAUUAGGAAAUUGUACAUUUUCAAAAUCAAUUGGUCUAGACGAAAAAAUAUAUGUUUGGCUUUUUAAGCCCAAAUGCCAUCAUUAUGUGCCAUAAAACUAAAAACACAGACUGAAAACAGCCAAGUAAGAGCUUGUGCCUUUUGGAAUGCUAACAGUGCUCAUUUGCAUUCAACUUGUAACAAAAUUCAACCGACAUAAACAAAAUGAAGCAUUGAUUAGACAGAGAUUUAUUAGAUGGGCCUACCUAAUAAACCGUUGGAACACACAAGACCGGAAACCAUUCGCCCUUAUACGCGUCUCUACGUUCACUUUGUAUGGGAUCUUGUCGCCCCGUCGCGUUUGGUGUGAACGCACAAUGCGAUUCUUCCUCGGCGGCGACAUGUUUGCUGCGUUCUGAACCAAAUCAAAGCAGCGUGUGUGUGACGUCACGACGCAUUUGCCGCGACCGGAACCGAUAAGCGGAAUCGUUAAGCAGGCUUGUUAAAGGUUGGGUAGGUGAUUUGCGAAACGCCAGCAGAUUUUGAAAAUACACAACUCAAAUGGUCCUACCCCCUCUCCUUCAACGCUGACUCUGACUCCACCCAUUCCAAGUACCUGGACGCGCAAUCAUGCACGAGCGCGAACAGAGAUGCGCGAGAGCGAGCCAGGCUAGCGUAGGUUUUCGUUUAACAACAUGGCACUACAUUCAGCUGUAAGUUGCACCCAGUACCGCGGGAAGUAGGAGUGCUGGGGGUGCUGCAACACCCCUGUCCGAGGCCCUGUCUUAUCACAGAAAACGAUCAUUUCUAAAAACUCCGGCCAAAGUGGAGAUUUCUGAAAACGCCGGUUAUGUGUUGUCGUGUCAACGAGGAGAAACGGGAUUUUAGGUUCUGAAGCGUCACAUUAUGCACCAGGAAAUGCUUAACGUCAUGUGAGCGCCCGCUGUACCGUAUUGGUCCGAAUAUAAACACAAACCCCAUUGUAAGACGACCUAUAUUUGGAAAAAAGAUUUGAAGACCAGAUCCGUUUUUUAUGAAUAAAUAAAUUGUAUUCAUUGAAAUAAUAUACGAAAAUAAAAAGGCAUCGAAUAAAACACUGCAUUGCCACUAAACAGUAGUGCAAAUAGGCCGUAGCCUACUGAUGUGUACACCAAAGACUAUUCCUGACACUCCUCUGCCCCGCUGUGUUCGCUCUGGCUGUGGUCGCUCCGAACUGUUUCGGCCCGUGGCAAAGCGAGUCAUCCUCGCUGCUGUCCAAGGCAUUUUGAGACGCAGCAUUUAUUUAAUGCUCAUAUGACCUAGUGCUGAAAAAAGGUUAUAUGAAAAAGUGUGAGGGUAGCGGUGGUGCGCUAAACUUGUUCUGUGAGCAGCUGGAUGUGAACGAUCGAUUUUCAACUGUGCGCGCAUGCAUGCACUGGUGUAAUUGAGCUGCGCUGCUAUACAUCUUUUUUUAUCAAUGUAACGAGUUGCGAGUCUAGUGCAGGCUGAGUUUUUUUUUUUCCCAGCACCCCCUGCUGAGAAUACGUUCUCGCUGCUAUGGUUGGACCAGAUGUUAUAAACAUUAAACGGUCACAUAAAUCAUUACUAUUUUUAGAAAAUGUAUGUUUGUUUCAUAUAAUUGUAUUGGAAGUCCUGGUUUUCACUAGGGUUGCCGCGGUGUGGACAUUUUCACACCGAGUAAUACACUCGUCUCCACACCGGUAUUACCGAGUAUAAACGGUAUAAACUUUGAAACUAGGUCAACCGCCACACAAGCAUCGGUUUUUUAGGAUUAUUCUUGAUUUCAGUUUUUCUCUUUCAGCGUUUUUAUUAUCAAUUACUCUCUGAAAAAGAGUUUUCCUUCUCUUUGCUGGUGGUGGUGGUGGUGGUGGGGAUGGUGGCGUCUUGUCUGCCAUGGAAAUUGUCUUCUACUGCUAGGUCCAAAUGUGGAUUAACUAGUUCCAGUAGCUACCGCAGGAUAACAACAAACAGGAGCUUGCUCUGGGUCACGAGCUCUGGGUCACGAGUACUGCACGAAGGGGUCGCGCGCGGGGCGCGGGGGAGGGGGAGUGCAGUACGACCGUUUGAUUGACGUACUUACUGUCCAAUGCAACUCGGUGGCAAUGGAAAUGAUUGGCUGGAGUUUUUCGAGCCCUGCCCGUUCCACAGAUGAUUGACUUGUUUAAUUUUCAUGUCAGUACUUCUAACUCAGUGGCUGUAAGCGGGUUAUGAUAAGGAUUUCAAGUAAUUUUGCAAAAAUGGCCAAAAAAGCAAAUCACCUAUCCAACCUUUAAUGAUUCCAAGGAAUCGGUUGACUCGGAACCGGUUCUGAACAAGAACCGGUUCUCGAUUCCCAUCCCUACGUAUCGCUACCAAAAAUUUCAUUUUUCAAGCGUGACAUUACGAAAAUCUUCACACCUUUCGUUUGAUUACUUCACUUCACUUCACUUCUUAUGAACAUUUCCGAGGUAAGUCAGUCCUUUCUAGCUAUUUUCAAUACAAAUAAAUUGGCAAAUAUUACGU